CGCUGAGCCUCCCCCUCUUGCUCCUACCUGCAGACACGGGAGAGACCACGACGCUGCCUCCGGGGCGCCACGAGUUCCCGUUCAGCUUCCAGCUGCCUCCGACCCUGGUGACCUCAUUCGAGGGUAAGCAUGGCAGUGUCCGGUACUGCAUCAAGGCCACCCUGCACCGGCCCUGGGUUCCUGCCCGCCGGGCAAGGAAGGUAUUUACUGUUAUUGAGCCGGUGGACAUCAACACGCCUGCCCUACUGGCCCCUCAGGCCGGAGCUCUGGAGAAGGUCGCCCGAUCCUGGUACAGCAGCCGUGGUCUCGUCUCCCUCUCCGCCAAAAUCGACCGAAAGGGUUACACACCAGGUGAGGUCAUCCCAGUCUUCGCGGAGAUUGACAAUGGCUCUACGCGCCCCCUGCUUCCUCGGGCAGCAGUGGUCCAG
rnacentral:lncRNA from 1 species